rnacentral:rRNA from 1 species
UACGUAGGGUGCGAGCGUUAAUCGGAAUUACUGGGCGUAAAGCGUGCGCAGGCGGUCUGUUAAGACCGAUGUGAAAUCCCCGGGCUUAACCUGGGAACUGCAUUGGUGACUGGCAGGCUUUGAGUGUGGCAGAGGGAGGUAGAAUUCCACGUGUAGCAGUGAAAUGCGUAGAGAUGUGGAGGAAUACCAUGGCGAAGGCAGCCUCCUGGGCCAACACUGACGCUCAUGCACGAAAGCGUGGGGAGCAAACAGG